CUGGCGGAUGUCCGGGGUUAAUUCCCUUGGAACAGGGGACCGGAGAGGGUGACAGUCCCGUCUUUGCCUCGGGUCAUCCGCGUGAAGGCCGUCCAACGGAGUCGAGUUGCUUGGGAUUGCAGCUCAAAGCCGGUGGUAAAUUCCAUCGAAGGCUAAAUACGGGAGGGAGACCGAUAGCGAACAAGUACUGUGAAGGAAAGAUGCAAAGAACUUUGAAAAGAGAGUUAAAGAGUACCUGAAAUUGCUGAAAGGGAAGCGAAGGAAACCAGUGUCGAGUUUGU
rnacentral:rRNA from 14 species